rnacentral:rRNA from 1 species
CCCGUCACGCCAUGGAAGCUGUGAGCGCCCGAAGUCCGUGCCGGAACUGGGCAACCAGGCCAAGCGGCCGAAGGCGAGCGCAGUGACUGGGGCG